rnacentral:lncRNA from 1 species
UCUGAUUUUUGUCGACCCUAAUCGUAGUCCAGCUGGCCCAGCUGCUACACCCGCACAAGCCCAGGCUGCAAGCACCCCGAGGAAGGGCCGAGCCUCGGAGAGCACAGCCAGGAGCUCCUCCUCCGAGAGCGAGGAUGAGGACGUGAUCCCCGCUACACAGUGCUUGACUCCUGGCAUCAGAACCAAUGUGGUGACCAUGCCCACUGCCCACCCAAGAAUAGCCCCCAAAGCCAGCAUGGCUGGGGCCAGCAGCAGCAAGGAGUCCAGUCGGAUAUCAGAUGGCAAGAAACAGGAGGGACCAGCCACUCAGGUGUCAAAGAAGAACCCAGCUUCCCUCCCACUGACCCAGGCUACCCUGAAGGUCCUCGCCCAGAAAGCCAGUGAGGCUCAGCCUCCUGUUGCCAGGACCCAGCCUUCAAGUGGGGUGAGCUUGGGGAGCC